rnacentral:rRNA from 1 species
CCUACGGGUGGCAGCAGUGGGGGAUAUUGCACAAUGGGGGAAACCCUGAUGCAGCGACGCCGCGUGUGGGAAGACGGUCUUCUGGAUUGUAAACCACUGUCCCCAGGGACGAAAAUGACGGUACCUGGGGAGGAAGCUCCGGCUAACUACGUGCCAGCAGCCGCGGUAAUACGUAGGGAGCAAGCGUUGUCCGGAAUUACUGGGUGUAAAGGGAGCGUAGGCGGGGAUGCAAGUUGGGGGUCAAAACUACCGGCUCAACCGAUAGUCGCACUCAAAACUGCAACUCUUGAGUGAAGUAGAGGCAGGCGGAAUGCGUAGUGUAGCGGUGAAAUGCGUAGAUAUUAGGAGGAACACCAGUGGCGAAGGCGGCCUGCUGGGCUUUUACUGACGCUGAGGCUCGAAAGUGUGGGGAGCAAACAGGAUUAGAUACCCCAGUAGUC